AUCGAAGACGAUCAGAUACCGUCGUAGUCCCGACCGUAAACGAUGCCGACCGAGGGCCCGGAGGAGUUACGUACGACCCUCCGGGCCCUCCCGCGAGAAAUCAGGAGUAUUCGGGUUCCGGGGGGAGUAUGGUCGCAAGGCCGAAACUUAAAGGAAUUGACGGAAGGGCACCACCAGGAGUGGAAUCUGCGGCUUAAUUUGACAACGCGGGAAAACUCACCAGGUCAGGACACGGUAAGGAUUGACGGACUGAAGGCUCUUUCUCGAUUCCGUGGAAAGUGGUGCAUGGCCGUUUUUGGUUGGUGGAUCGAUCCGUCUGGUUAAUUCCGUUAACGAACGAGACCUCGGCACUCCGAAUAGCGCGGCGGACGUCGCGGCCUCCGGGCCGUCUUCCGCACGAGCUUCUUAGAGGGACCGUCCCCCGCCGGGGAAGGAGGUGCGAGGCAACGACAGGUCUGUGAUGCCCUUAGAUGUUCUGGGCCG
rnacentral:rRNA from 1 species